GACUUCAUAGCUUAGAAGUAAAGAGCUUGGCUUACUAACCGAUCUGUCUCGGGUUCGAAUCUCGGUGAAGACU
rnacentral:tRNA from 1 species